rnacentral:rRNA from 1 species
AUACGGAGGAUCCGAGCGUUAUCCGGAUUUAUUGGGUUUAAAGGGAGCGUAGGUGGAUUGUUAAGUCAGUUGUGAAAGUUUGCGGCUCAACCGUAAAAUUGCAGUUGAAACUGGCAGUCUUGAGUACAGUAGAGGUGGGCGGAAUUCGUGGUGUAGCGGUGAAAUGCUUAGAUAUCACGAAGAACUCCGAUUGCGAAGGCAGCUCACUAGACUGUUACUGACACUGAUGCUCGAAAGUGUGGGUAUCAAACAGGAUUAGAUACCCUGGUAGUCCGCACAGUAAACGAUGAAUACUCGCUGUUUGCGAUACACUGUAAGCGGCCAAGCGAAAGCGUUAAGUAUUCCACCUGGGGAGUACGCCGGCAACGGUGAAACUCAAAUGAAUUGACGGGG